CAAGCAGCGGUGCUGCCAGAGAGAGCAGAUGAAUCCCUUUUCUUGAACAAUUUGGCUUUCUUUUAUUUAAAGUUGCAGGCAAAACUUUUACUGCCAGCAUCAGUCAUACAGUCUAUUAUUGAGGAUUUUCAAGCAGUGCAUGAUAUCAGUCAGUCUCAUUUACUUCAUAAGUUGGACGAAAAGCUGGUAUCAUUGGAUAUCUCUGACCGUGAGAGAGAGAGGUUCUUAAAUCCGAGGAUUUGUUUCGGGCAUGCAACACUGGUACCUUGAAAACUGAUCAAAGACAAAAACGGUUUUUAAAAAUCAGUUUAGAUACAUUGAGCCAGUCCCACCUUAUCUUGGAAAGAAUGAUAUGGGAUCACAGAGUGGCUUUAGUGAAAACUUCAGUAAAGGCACCCAUUUCUGCAGAUUAUGUACUAGAGCCCGACCGAUAUAUCUAUAAUAUAUUAAUAUAUAUUAUAUAAUAAACAAAAAAAACGAUGAUUAUUUAUCUGUACUUGUCUGCUUGAACGUUGUAAUUGCUAUUUACUACAAUUAUCCAGUAGAGGGAGCUCUAAUACAAGUGUGAACUGCAGCAGCUGACGCGCUACUUCUCUAAUAAGACGUUUGUUACUCGUGCCUCAUCCAAUAUUCUCCACUGCAAGACUUGUCUGCACAGAUUCGGUUGCGGCAAUAAAGGUGAAAAGAAAACAAUUGCAUCAUACAAAGACAGCGUGCAGCACAGCAUGCAGCAUAACGCAGACUCAUCCCCACCAGAGAUGAGUCCAAUGAGAGUGGUGUCGUCUGCAAACUUCAGGAGCUUGACUGACUGAUGACUGGAGGUGCAGCUAUUGGUAUACAGGGAGAAGAGUAGAGGAGAAAGGACGCAGCCUUGAGG